GCAGUUUGAUCUGCGUUUCUCCCAACCCGCAUUUCGAUAUGCCGAUAAUGAAGAUGUGCACCCCCAAAACCAACCCAACCGCAGAUCCAUCGGCGGUUGCCUUCUGGCGCUAAUCCAGCUGCGGCAGGCGUUAACCGCAAAGCCAUUUGCGGUUCGACAACGCACCCCCUAAAACCCAUCCGAUGUUCGUAUUGCGGCAGGGGUUAACCGUAGUGUCAUUUGCGGUUCGAUAUGCGGCACCCCCAAAACCCUCCUCGUCGAUCCCAUUCGCACAGUUCAUAUAAACAUUUUCAUACACAAAACAAUUCACAUACAGAGGAAAAAAUGCAACCACGGAUCAAGCAACAGAACAUGAUUCUUACACCCACAACAUCAACCAGAUCUACGAAAGGAAAAAUACUAACCUGGAC
rnacentral:lncRNA from 1 species